UACGAAGGGGGCGAGCGUUGUUCGGAUUUACUGGGCGUAAAGGGCGCGCAGGCGGUUCUGUUUGUCGAGUGUGAAAGCCCCGGGCUCAACCUGGGAACUGCGCUCGAAACGGCGGAACUAGAGUUCGGGAGAGGAGAGUGGAAUUCCCAGUGUAGAGGUGAAAUUCGUAGAGAUUGGGAAGAACACCGGUGGCGAAGGCGGCCAUCUGGACCGCAACUGACGCUGAGGCGCGAAAGCGUGGGGAGCAAACAGG
rnacentral:rRNA from 1 species